GUGUGACACUGGGAGUGGGCUUUGA
rnacentral:piRNA from 1 species